rnacentral:rRNA from 1 species
AUUGAACGCUGGCGGCAGGCCUAACACAUGCAAGUCGAGCGAGCGGCGGACGGGUGAGUAAUGUAUGGGGACUGCCCGAUAGAGGGGGAUAACUACUGGAAACGGUAGCUCAUACCGCAUACUAUCGGAUAACCCAUAUGGGAUUAGCUAGUAGGUUAGGUAAUGGCUCACCUAGGCGACGAUCCCUAGCUGGUCUGAGAGGAUGAUCAGUCAAACGGGGACUGAGAAACGGGCCAGACCCCUACGGAGGCAGCAGGGGGGAAUAUUGGACAAUGGGGGAAAGCCUGAUGGAGCCAUGCCGCGGUGAUGAAGAAGGCCCUAGGGGUUUAAAGGACUUUCAGUCGGGAGGCGUUACCGACAGAAGAAGCACCGGCUAACUCCGUGCCAGCAGCCGCGGUAAUUC